CGACCUAAGCUUCUGGGAAAAUUAGGAAUUGCCUUAGGGAUGGUCAGAUACUCAAAUGUAUUUUGGAGCAAGAUGAUGAGGAAUUAUAAUUGCUCUUUGGUGAUGCGACAGCAAGAAGAGGUGAAGAGGCCUAUUCAUGGGCUGGAGAUUCUGAGAAAUUGAAUUUUAAGCUUGAUAUGUAUGUACAAAAGAAGAAGAUUUUGUGAUGAGGGAAAUGAUAAU
rnacentral:lncRNA from 1 species